UACGUAGGGUGCGAGCGUUGUCCGGAAUUACUGGGCGUAAAGAGCUCGUAGGUGGUUUGUCGCGUUGUUCGUGAAAACUCACAGCUUAACUGUGGGCGUGCGGGCGAUACGGGCAGACUGGAGUACUGCAGGGGAGACUGGAAUUCCUGGUGUAGCGGUGGAAUGCGCAGAUAUCAGGAGGAACACCUAUGGCGAAGGCAGCUCUCUGGGACGGUACUGACGCUGAGACGCGAAAGCGUGGGGAGCGAACAGG
rnacentral:rRNA from 1 species